GUGGGGAAUCUUAGACAAUGGGGGAAACCCUGAUCUAGCCAUGCCGCGUGAGCGAUGAAGGCCUUAGGGUUGUAAAGCUCUUUCAGCUGGGAAGAUAAUGACGGUACCAGCAGAAGAAGCCCCGGCUAACUCCGUGCCAGCAGCCGCGGUAAUACGGAGGGGGCUAGCGUUGUUCGGAAUUACUGGGCGUAAAGCGCACGUAGGCGGACCGGAAAGUCAGAGGUGAAAUCCCAGGGCUCAACCUUGGAACUGCCUUUGAAACUCCUGGUCUUGAGGUCGAGAGAGGUGAGUGGAAUUCCGAGUGUAGAGGUGAAAUUCGUAGAUAUUCGGAGGAACACCAGUGGCGAAGGUGGCUCACUGGCUCGAUACUGACGCUGAGGUGCGAAAGCGUGGGGAGCAAACAGGAUUAGAAACCCGUGUAGUCC
rnacentral:rRNA from 1 species